rnacentral:rRNA from 1 species
AUUGAACGCUGGCGGCGGGCCUAACACAUGCAAGUCGAACGAGUGGCGGACGGGUGAGUAAUGUCUGGGAACCUGCCUGAUGGAGGGGGAUCACUACUGGAAACGGUAGCUAAUACCGCAUACCAUCAGAUGUUCCCCGAUGGGAUUAGCUAGUAGGUGGGGUAACGGCUCACCUAGGCCACGAGCCCUAGCUGGUCGGAGAGGAUGACCAGCCACACUGGAACUGAGACACGGUCCAGACUCCUACGGGAGGCAGCAGUGGGGAAUAUUGCACAAGGGGCGCAAGCCUGAUGCAGCCAUGCCGCGUGUGUGAAGAAGGCCUUCGGGUUGUAAAGCACUUUCAGCGGGGAGGCGUUACCCGCAGAAGAAGCACCGGCUAACUCCGUGCCAGUAGCCGCGGUAAUUC